UUUGCUUCCUGGCAGAGAUCUUCAUUUAAGAGGAAAGGAGAUAAGAUCUCCAGAUGGGACUGUCUUGAAUAGAAUAAUCCCUGGUCAUUCCUUCUGACUAUUAGUCAGAAGGUGGUCGGGAGGAAUGAUCUUUUUGAACUGCUGGAUAAUAGAUAGCUCUAUAGAUUAGACAGGGAGUCAAUGCUGCCGCUUGAUCUAUUUUGAUCGGUCAAAGGAGUAGAUUAAUUAUAUGAGCAUGGAC
rnacentral:lncRNA from 1 species